rnacentral:rRNA from 1 species
GAUGAACGCUGGCGGCGUGCCUAAUACAUGCAAGUCGAGCGAACAGACGAGGAGCUUGCUCCUCUGACGUUAGCGGCGGACGGGUGAGUAACACGUGGUUAACCUACCUAUAAGACUGGGAUAACUUCGGGAAACCGGAGCUAAUACCGGAUAAUAUAUUGAACCGCAUGGUUCAAUAGUGAAAGACGGUUUUGCUGUCACUUAUAGAUGGAUCCGCGCCGCAUUAGCUAGUUGGUAAGGUAACGGCUUACCAAGGCGACGAUGCGUAGCCGACCUGAGGGGGUGAUCGGCCACACUGGAACUGAGACACGGUCCAGACUCCUACGGGAGGCAGCAGUAGGGAAUCUUCCGCAAUGGGCGAAAGCCUGACGGAGCAACGCCGCGUGAGUGAUGAAGGUCUUCGGAUCGUAAAACUCUGUUAUUAGGGAAGAACAAAUGUGUAAGUAACUAUGCACGUCUUGACGGUACCUAAUCAGAAAGCCACGGCUAACUACGUG